rnacentral:lncRNA from 1 species
GACAGAUUAUCUUGUAAAUAAAUAAAUGUAAAUAGUUAUCCUCUAAUCUAACAAAACAAAGUCGGGAACAAUGGAUUAAUGGAUAUGUAAAAGCCAUAAGGAGAACAGAACUAUAAAAGAAUAUGCAAUAAACAUUGUAGAAGUGGAAAGCCAGUCACUUUAAAAAGAUAUUCCAAACCAAAACAUGGGUUACCAAAGCAGACAAUAAAAAAAAAGGUGAUCUAGAAUGCAAGAGAAGAGCUGAUGAAAGAAGUAAAUGUAAAGAAAAUAAUGAAGAGACUUCUCUUGACCAUGAACAAACACCAGAUAUUUUAUAUAUGUAGAAAAAGGAAAAACUGCUGGAACUUUAAUUUAAAGGCUUUUGACUAGUGAAGAUUUGGAUAAACAACAGGAGUUACUUUGGGCUAUAGCUACGUGCAAAUUUAUUUUCUUGUGGCUUCCUAUGUUUAUUUUUAAUAACUAUAUCUACACUUUGAUAUGUUUUUAGUCGCAUGAAGAUUUUAUAGUUUAUUAUUUUAUGUAUAGUGUUAUAUUUGUGUUGAAUAAACAUUAUUAUUAUUA